rnacentral:rRNA from 1 species
GGAGUAGUGACACGGCGGAGCAACCCGCUCCCGGUAAAACGGGACGGCCCGCCAGAGGACCCCUAAACUCUGUUUCUAUAUGUAACUUCUGAGUAAAACCAUAAAUAAAUCAAAACUUUCAACAACGGAUCUCUUGGUUCUGGCAUCGAUGAAGAACGCAGCAAAAUGCGAUAAGUAAUGUGAAUUGCAGAAUUCAGUGAAUCAUCGAAUCUUUGAACGCACAUUGCGCCCGCCAGUAUUCUGGCGGGCAUGCCUGUUCGAGCGUCAUUUCAACCCUCAAGCACAGCUUGGUGUUGGGACUCGCGUUAAUUCGCGUUCCUCAAAUUGAUUGGCGGUCACGUCGAGCUUCCAUAGCGUAGUAGUAAAACCCUCGUUACUGGUAAUCGUCGCGGCCACGCCGUUAAACCCCCAACUUCUGAAUGUUGACCGGAUCAGGUAGGAAUACCCGCUGAACUUAAGCAUAUCAAUAACGGAGGA